CUACUGCACCACGCAUCCACCACCCUUCACAACUCCGACCACCUUGCACGCCAUCCCGUCACCGUCGAACCACCACACAAAUUGUGUCUCCAAAACCUUUCAUCUCCCUCCGCCGGAAACCCAUCAUCCUACAUCUCAUAAACCUCCAAAUCUUUCCGCUCCGUCUCCACCUCCACAAGACCUCCGUCAAUUUCACAGCAACACCAACUCUCCCACAAGCUCACAAUAACCUUUGCCAUCUCAGAUUCGCCGUCAAAAUCCGUUUGCAGAUCCACUUCUAUAAUGCCGUGAACAACAUUGAUAACCUUCACGUCCGACAACAACUUCAAUUUGUCUUCGUCGCCGUUAAAUCCUCGCAACAAACCUUUUCUCUCUAUAACAAAACCGAUGUCAUCAGCUUGAUUGAACAUGUGAGAUAUUGAGUAGAGAUAAACAUUGAAAGAAGGCAUGGAACAAAAGAUAUAUUUUUUCUACUAGUUGUGAGCUUAGCAGAGAAGAAGAUGCCGUCGUGACCACCGUCGGUGUUGAAUACUUUUGAAGUUGAACACUGUAAGCCAAUACGAGAUUGCUUUGAAAUCCCCCUGCUAAAUGACGACAAGGCAUUCAUCAGCUGUUGGUUAGUCUUACACUUUUAUUAUCUUCUAUUUUUUUACUUUUGAUUAUAUUUCAAUGUUGAUAUAAUAUAUUAAAAAGCUAUUCAUAUA